UACGUAGGUGGCAAGCGUUGUCCGGAUUUACUGGGCGUAAAGAGCGCGCAGGCGGUCGUUCAAGUCGCGUGUGAAAGCCCCCGGCUCAACUGGGGAGGGUCACGCGAUACUGAUCGACUCGAAGGCAGGAGAGGGUAGUGGAAUUCCCGGUGUAGUGGUGAAAUGCGUAGAUAUCGGGAGGAACACCAGUGGCGAAGGCGGCAUCCUGGACCGGUAUUGACGCUGAGGCGCGAAAGCUAGGGGAGCAAACGGG
rnacentral:rRNA from 1 species